AACUAAAGCUAUUAUUAGAACAGUUUCUGUACUAUAUUG
rnacentral:misc_RNA from 1 species